rnacentral:lncRNA from 1 species
ACAUGUUUCCCUAAGUGAGUCAAGCCUAGUUAUGCAGUUAGUGUGCCUUUGUUUAUUUACUUUUGUGGAUUUUCUUUAUUGCUUUUGUUGUCUUUAUUGUCAUAUUAAUAUAAUUUAUUGUAUUGGUUCCAUCAUGCUUUGGUACUUGGAUACUCUGAUUGCAAACCUGGUGGUUGCAGAGGUAGCCGCCUGUAUCUUUCC